ensembl:lncRNA
AGCGACUGAAGUGAACUGAACGUGGCUUCCUAGGUGGUGCUGGUGGUAAAGAAUCUGCCUGCCAAUUCAGGAGACAUAAGAGAGGCUGGUUAGAUCCCUGGGUCAGGAAGAUUCCCUGGAGAACGAAAUGGUACCCUACUCCAGUAUUCUUGCCUAGAAAAUUCCAUGGACAGAAAAGCCUGGCAGGCUACAAUCCAUGGUGUCAUAGAGAGUCAUACACGACUGGGCGACUGAAUACGCACCAUAAACCACUGAACUGAGAACCACUGAGAGCAGAGGCUACAGUUAUGCCCCGUGGAGGACGCAGGAAAUGUGUUCUGGACUACCCCUUAACAGGCAAAGCGACAGACCAAGGUCACCUCUUGAGUUUCUGGACACAGGUCUCACCAGUGAGGGCCACAGAUCCCCUGAUAGGUCCCUUGAAACCCUCCUUGUCCUACUGGUCUCUGGGCUCUGAGGUCAGUGAGUGGUUGACAGACACUCCUGGCUGGUACAGGCCUAUGCCCAGGACAGUAGACCACUCAGAGUCAAGAGGCCCUGUCCCCUCCCAGGACCCCAGGCGCAGUGUCCCCUCCUUCUGGGACUGCCUGGUAUGUGAGCCAGAGGAUGCGAUACAGGAGAACAGGGCUCUCCCCCCAGAGAUGAGCCAUCUCAUCCUGCUGCUUCCCUGCUGUGUGUCACUGGGCAGCUUGCUCUCUUCGUGGGACCUCACUGCCCCUGCCCCACCUGCUACACAGAGCUGCAGUGACGGGCAAGGAGAAACGAUCCGGAGACCUUAGGCUGAGUGCAACCUGAGCCUGGUUCCCAAAUAUCCACAGAGGCCUGUAUUCAGAGCUGUGGUGCUCCCGCACACGAGACAAGGCCCGGCCCCAAAGACAGGCUCAGUGUGUGGCAGAGAAGGCAAACCCCAAACAAAUGGUUUUCACAGUGUGCGAGCGUACUUCCGGGAGUAUGGCAGAUUGAGUCGCAGAGGCGGCCGUUGUGCGCUCUGGACUGCAGAUGGGGUAGGAAGGGAGGCAGCCGCAGAGUAGAGUUCACUGAGUCACUUGUGUGAGUACCGUGUAACUAACAUGUGACCCAGCAGCCCCACUUCUGGGCUCAUUCCCUGAGAAAAGCAAAAUUCAAAACGACGCAUGUACCCCAGUGUUCACUGCAGCACUAUUCACAAUAGCCAGGACAUGGAAGCAGCCUAGAUGCCCCUCGACAGAUGAAUGGAUAAAGAUGAUGUUGUGCAUAUAUUCAAUGGAAUACUACUCAGCCAUAAAAAUAAAUGAGAUUGGGUCAUUUGUAGAGACGUAGAUGAACCUAGAGUCUGUCAUACUUCAUACAUAGAGUGAAGUAAGUCAGAAAGAGAAAAGAAAUACUGUAUAUUGGCACAUCUAUGUGAAGUCUGGAAAAAUGGUAUAAAUGACCCUAUUUGCAGGGCAGGACUAGAGAUGCAGAUGCAGAGAAUGGGCGUGUGGGUGCCGGAGGAGGAGGAGGGGACACACUGGGAGAUUAGGACUGGCAUAUACUCACUGCCGUGUGUGGAACAGAUCGCCAGUGGGAAGCUGCUGCGUAGCACAAGGGAGCUCAGCGCCACGCUCUGUGAGGACCUAGAGGGGUGGGAUGGAGGGGUAGGAUGGAGGCACAAGAGAGAAAGGAUAUAUGUAUCAGUUCAGUUCAGUUCAGUCGCUCAGUCAUGUCCGACUCUUACACCCCAUGAAUCGCAGCACGCCUGGCCUCCCUGUCCAUCACCAACUCCCAGAGUUCACUCAGACUCACGUCCAUCGAGUCAGUGAUGCCAUCCAGCCAUCUCAUCCUCUGUCGUCCCCUUCUCCUCCUGCCCCCAAUCCCUCUCAGCAUCAGAGUCUUUUACAACUGGGCAUUGUUUUUGCUUUGGCUCCAUCCCUUCAUUCUUUCUGGAGUUAUUUCUCCACUGAUCUCCAGUAGCAUAUUGGGCACCUACUGACCUGGGGAGUUCCUCUUUCAGUAUCCUAUCAUUUUGCCUUUUCAUACUGUUCAUGGGGUUCUCAAGGCGAGAAUACUGAAGUGGUUUGCCAUUCCCUUCUCCAGCGGACCACAUUGUGUCAGACCUCUCCACCAUGCCCGCCUGUCUUGGGUGGCCCCACAGGGCAUGGCUGAGUUUCAUUGAGUUAGACAAGGCUGUGGUCCUAGUGUGAUUAGAUUGACUAGUUUUCUGUGAUUAUGGUUUCAGUGUGUCUGCCAAGGCAAGAGCACUGGAUCUUCUCCCACCAGGGACUAAAGCCAUGCCCCUGCAGUGGAAGCUCGGAGUCAACCACUGAGCCACCACAGAAGUCCACAGCUGAUAGCAAUCUUAAUUCAUCUGCAAACUUAAUUCCCCCCUGCCAUGUUACAUACCAUCUUCACAACUUCUACAGAUUGGAUGCAGACAAGUUUUUUUGGGGGUGGCGGAGGGCAUUAUUCUGCCUACCAAAGGAAAAAGCAUCAUAGUCCAGUAAGAGAGAACACACAGGUGGCAGUUCAGUGCGCUGGCCCUGGAGGCAACCACCUGGAUUCAAGUUCACCAAUUACCAGCCAAGUGACCUUGAGCAAGCCACUUCACUUUUCUGAACUUGAGUCUCCCCAUCCAAGUGGGGGUUGAUGUGAACCCAAACAGUGGGAUACUGCCCAGCAACGAAAAGGAAUGGGCUGUCAAUACACAGAGCAAGGUGGAUGAAUCGUAAGAUUAUCACAGGUGUGUGAAACCAGAAGAAAAAAGUACAUACAGCCAGAUUUUGCAUAACAUUCAAGAAAAUGCAAAUGAAUGUAGUGACAGGAAGCAGAUCAGUGGCUGCCUGUGGACGGAGGGAAGCAGGGGCUCGCAGGAGGGAGGGAUUACCAGUGGGCACAAGGACAUGUUUGGGAGAGAUGAGUAGGUUCCCUUUCUUGAUGGUGUGUGGGUGUGAGUGUGUGGAUGCCAAAAUAUCACAUUAUAUAUUUUAAAAGGCAUGGCUUAUCGUAGGUCAGCUAAUCCUCAAUAAAGCUGUUAAAAUGGAGAUGAUUAUAGUGUCUCCUCAUAAGGUGGCAGUGCAGAGUAAACGAGUUAAUUCACAAAAAACCAUAGAACAUUUGGCACAUAGUAAGUACUCAAAAAGCCUUAGCCAGCAUCAUCACUAAUGUUGUUGUCAUGGUUAAACAGCAGUGCUUUUCCACCCAGGCUGCCUGUUAGAAUCACCUGGAAAGUAUUCUUAAAGCUGUGAUACCUGGGCCUCCCUUACACAGAGUAUGAUUCAGCUGAUGUGGGGUGGGGCCUGGGGCUGGAC